rnacentral:rRNA from 1 species
AGCCUUCCUUUAAGCGGGAGAUAGCCCAUAGAAAUGUGGAUUAAUACCCCAUAGUAAUAUUGAUUGGCAUCAAUUGAUAUUUAAAGAUUUAUCACUUAAAGAUGGCUGUGCGGCUGAUUAGGUAGUUGGUGUGGGUAACGGCCCACCAAGCCUUCGAUCAGUAACUGGUGUGAGAGCACGACCAGUCACACGGGCACUGAGACACGGGCCCG